rnacentral:rRNA from 1 species
UGGGGAAUUUUGGACAAUGGGGGAAACCCUGAUCCAGCCAUCUCGCGUGUGCGAUGAAGGCCUUCGGGUUGUAAAGCACUUUUGGCAGGAAAGAAACGUCAUGGGUUAAUACCCCGUGAAACUGACGGUACCUGCAGAAUAAGCACCGGCUAACUACGUGCCAGCAGCCGCGGUAAUACGUAGGGUGCAAGCGUUAAUCGGAAUUACUGGGCGUAAAGCGUGCGCAGGCGGUUCGGAAAGAAAGAUGUGAAAUCCCAGAGCUCAACUUUGGAACUGCAUUUUUAACUACCGGGCUAGAGUAUGUCAGAGGGAGGUGGAAUUCCGCGUGUAGCAGUGAAAUGCGUAGAUAUGCGGAGGAACACCGAUGGCGAAGGCAGCCUCCUGGGAUAACACUAACGCUCAUGCACGAAAGCGUGGGGAGCAAACAGG